rnacentral:rRNA from 1 species
CCCUUAGAUGUUUUGGGCCGCACGCGCGCUACACUGACGCAUUCAACGAGUCUAAAACCUGGUCUGAUAGGGCUGGGUAAUCUUUUGAAUGUGCGUCGUGAUUGGGAUAAAUGAUUGUAAUUCUUCAUUUUCAACGAGGAAUGCCUAGUAAACGCAAGUCAUCAGCUUGCAUUGAUUACGUCCCUGCCCUUUGUACACACCGCCCGUCGCUCCUACCGAUUGAAUGAUCCGAUGAAUAUCAUGGACUGAGAGUGUUAGAGUUUCGGACUUCUACACUUCUCGGGAAGUGAAGUGAAUCUUAUCAUUUAGAGGAAGGAGAAGUCGUAACA